rnacentral:rRNA from 1 species
AGGACGAACGCUGGCGGCGUGCUUAACACAUGCAAGUCGAGCGGAAAGGCCCUUCGGGGUACUCGAGCGGCGAACGGGUGAGUAACACGUGAGCAACCUGCCCUUAGCUCCGGGAUAGCUCCGGGAAACCGGGAUUAAUACCGGAUAUGACCACUUUAGACAUCUGCUGUGGUGGAAAGAAUUUCGGCUAGGGAUGAGCUCGCGGCCUAUCAGCUUGUUGGUGGGGUAACGGCCUACCAAGGCGACGACGGGUA